rnacentral:rRNA from 1 species
AUUGAACGCUGGCGGCAGGCCUAACACAUGCAAGUCGAGCGGAUGAGGGGUGCUUGCACUCCGAUUCAGCGGCGGACGGGUGAGUAAUGCCUAGGAAUCUGCCUGGUAGUGGGGGACAACGUUUCGAAAGGAACGCUAAUACCGCAUACGUCCUACGGGAGAAAGUGGGGGAUCUUCGGACCUCACGCUAUCAGAUGAGCCUAGGUCGGAUUAGCUAGUUGGUGAGGUAAAGGCUCACCAAGGCGACGAUCCGUAACUGGUCUGAGAGGAUGAUCAGUCACACUGGAACUGAGACACGGUCCAGACUCCUACGGGAGGCAGCAGUGGGGAAUAUUGGACAAUGGGCGAAAGCCUGAUCCAGCCAUGCCGCGUGUGUGAAGAAGGUCUUCGGAUUGUAAAGCACUUUAAGUUGGGAGGAAGGGCUGUAGGCUAAUAUCCUGCAGUUUUGACGUUACCGACAGAAUAAGCACCGGCUAACUUCGUGCCAGCCGCCGCCGUAA